AGUCGCAAGCUCGCGAGAGUAAGCUAAUCUCUUAAAGCCGUUCUCAGUUCGGACUGUAGGCUGCAACCCGCCUACACGAAGUCGGAAUCGCUAGUAAUCGCGGAUCAGCAUGCCGCGGUGAAUACGUUCCCGGGCCUUGUACACACCGCCCGUCACACCAUGGGAGUUUGUAACGCCCAAAGUCGGUGGCCUAACCUUUAUGGAGGGAGCCGCCUAAGGCGGGACAGAUGACUGGGGUGAAGUCGUAACAAGGUAAC
rnacentral:rRNA from 1 species